ACACGAUCAACAGCUCACAACAGAUAUCGAUGGCAGCAGUCUUUUUUGGUGCCCUCCUGUUUCUGAGGGGAAUUCUUGCCAAUCCAAAGUGCUCUGUUUCAGUGUAUCAGAAUAAAUCUGUUGCAUAUAUCAUCUCAGAGCCAAGCAGACCUGCCUGUACACACGAAUGGAGCUCAGCUGACAUUGUGCUGGUGGAUAUGAAGGGGAACUUUUUCCAAGAAGUCAUUUUGCACGUCGAGCCACAAAGGAUUCUCACUAUAAAAUGUCAGGAUAACAUCACAUAUCAUGAGGAAUGUUUGGCACAAAAGGUGUCAAUGGAGAUCACUUGUGACUAUAAAUGUCCUGUAUCUGCAGCAACAUAUGCAACAAAAUAUCCAAAAAGAAGUCAUGUGACAGUUGCUGUGGUUUCUACUGUUGUUGUGAUAUGGAUCUUUCUUUUGGUUAUCAGAUAG
ensembl:processed_transcript